rnacentral:tRNA from 1 species
GGAGAGGUAGCCAAGCGGCUUACGGCAGCGGUUUGCUAAACCGCCGGGGGGCUAACACCUCCCACGGGGGUUCGAAUCCCCCCCUCUCCG